GGACGGCUGAAAGUGCUUCUGGAUGGAAGUGUUGCACAGGUGGACGGAGCUGAUGAAAAUAACGGAAGUGAGGCCAUUAAGGUGUAACCUCAGCACUGCCAUCACCAUCUUCCUCCCUGUUGCCAUGGCAAUGACUGGCUCUCUGGACCGGAUGGGGGACACGACGUUCCACCCACCCUCUGGCCCACAAGGCGGCACGGAUCACAGGGUACGGUCCCUGCACUGAAAACACUUUCUUCAGCUGAGAAAUUGUGAAAGAGAGACAGAAAGGGUCACAUGGAAAUGAUGAGUUCUUAUAGUGACAUCUUACGUGUAGAUAAAAUCACCUUGACUGCUUUUGCCACUAGUGCUUUAGCUGUUUUUAGCCUGUCUGGCUUGAUCGCUGGCAGGGUCGGCACUCUGCGAUGUAACGUCCCCUCCACGGGAGCCACUGUGGAUUGUUGCAGAGAGAAACUGCUUGAUUUCAGUAAAUAACUAACUGUGAGCACAACACCUGGAUGCAUUUGAAAAAGCAGAUCUCUAUUCACUUACGUGACAUUUGUUGCAUGGUUAUAUACUUCUCUGUCCAGCCGAUCAGCAAGCAGUGCUCAGUUCUGACAGUCAGACAGACAAAGAGAGAGAUAGAUGGAUAGAUCUACAAAUGCCUUCUUACCAUUUCCAUACCUCUUCACUGUUAGACAUGGUAUCCUCAGCUGUUGAGGAAUAAACAUUGCACAUUUGUAUUGUCCGAAGGAGUCAUCUAAAUCUGGACAGAGCUGACUGAGGCUUUCAUAACUUCUCAUUGACUAAAGUUAGCCAUUUGCAAAAAGGGGCGCUUGCACACACGGAUCAUCAGAUAAUAUGAAAGAAUAUGUUUUUUGAAGAAGCAUGCAUAGGGUAGGAAAUACGUAAACAGAAGGCUUGGGUUACAUCCAUGUUGAACGACCGUUGACUUCCGUCUGUCAAACAUUAAAGACUGCCCUGAAUUUACAUCUCAAACAAAAGCAGCUGCGAUCGUUUUACUGAGCGAUAUUAUACAAACCUUAUGUUGUCACCGCCGCAGUGACUCGACCACUCUGCCCAAAAACUCGCUCAGUCCCCCGUCCUUCACGCUCUCACAGACCGUUCCCAUAACAACCGUCCAUGCUCCCACAGAAUGUUUAUGGUUGCCACAACAACCUAACCCAGGAGAAACAGGACACCGUGGAGGACAAUGAAAAAAUCCACCACCUUUCUAUGGGGUCAGAUCAGUCUCAAUAAUUGCAAAUGGACACUGAAGGAUUUACAAAUACAUUUCAAUGCACACAUGAAUAAAUUAUGAUUUAUAUUCAUAUUUGUAGAUGCUUUACAUUUGUGUGUGGGGUUGUUGAGACUCGUCUGACGUGAAUGAUGGCGAUGAUUGAUGGUGCAAAAUCUGCAUACAAAAUGGGGUAAAGAUAUAAUUCUAUGCAUGGUGUGUAUGAUGUAUGAUGUAAAUUGAAGCUCCCCAGCCACUUCCAGACUAGAAGAUGCUCCACCAGGACAUGAUGAUGGCCAACAGUUCUUGUUUUGGACUGGAAUUCCUAUUCACAUAUGCCCUAGUUUCUGAAGUUCUUUGAUGAUUAUUUCAUUCAAGUGUUCAAUACCAAUACAGUUAACCCAUACAAAUGACCACUUCCUUGAACCACAGUAAAGCAGUACAUUCUUUUGUUUUUUUAUUUUUUUUAAUGUACAAAUUGUAAUCAAGAAAGACAUGAGUAAGAACAAUGCAAACUUCUAAUUAAAGGCUCUUACGCCAGUGUUAAGUAAACAAAUACAGACAAUACAUGUUCUCUUCUAUGUCAUGUCAUGAGCACUUAAUAAAACUAAAUCCUGACAGCAUGCAAGCUGUAGCUUGGAGGUUGCCUCCAAGAUGUGUUCCAGUCUAUCGUGCAUAUGUGAAGGAUGUCAGCCUCAGUGAUUCCUAGAGGAUAGAUGCAUAAUAAACAUGAUAAAAAUCUGUGUUA